rnacentral:rRNA from 1 species
GACGAACGCUGGCGGCGUGCUUAACACAUGCAAGUCGAACGGAAAGGCCCUGCUUUUGUGGGGUGCUCGAGUGGCGAACGGGUGAGUAACACGUGAGUAACCUGCCCUUGACUUUGGGAUAACUUCAGGAAACUGGGGCUAAUACCGGAUAGGAGCUCCUGCUGCAUGGAGGGGGUUGGAAAGUUUCGGCGGUUGGGGAUGGACUCGCGGCUUAUCAGCUUGUUGGUGGGGUAGUGGCUUACCAAGGCUUUGACGGGUAGCCGGCCUGAGAGGGUGACCGGCCACAUUGGGAGUGAGAUACGGCCCAGACUCCUACGGGAGGCAGCAGUGGGGAAUAUUGCACAAUGGGCGGAAGCCUGAUGCAGCAACGCCGCGUGCGGGAUAACGGCCUUCGGGUUGUAGCCCGCUUUCGCCUGUGACGAAGCGUGAGUGACGGUAAUGGGUAAAGAGGCACCGGCUAACUACGAG